UUCCUCCUUCUCUCCCUCUCACCGCUUCCUCCCUGUCCCUCACCGCUUUCUCCUCUCUCUGUCCCCACUUCCUGCCGUCUCUUCCCUGUUCUGAGGACACUGAUCCUUACCAGACAAUAGAGGGCUGUCCUUGGAUUCAAGCUCUGCCCCUACCUGGAUGUUUCUGGACCCUUCUGAGCUGAGGCUCCCCCAGCUGAAGAAUGGGAAUGACAGUCAUGGCACUUAUGUCACAGAGCAGAAUUGAAUUUGUUCUCAGACCGGAAGUAUAAUAGUGCCUGAUUUCAACUCAACCGAAGUACCAGCCUCCAGGAUUAUCAAUUUACUCAGCAUGUUUCUACAGGUCCGGCCUCAGACAGUAAUGACCGUAGGUGGCGGUGCUCGGUGUAACCCCUAUCAAACCAGCUCCCAUACCUCAUUUUGUCAGCUUGACAAUCUGUAAGCUGUUUCCUGGGUGUGUACAUGUGCCAGGCCUCGGGGACAGCUUCCUAAGCAGGAGACAUAACGGCGCCUCCACUCACGGAGCUGACAGUUUUGUGGGACCACACAGGCGCACAACCACACGAGUUAGGAACCUUGGGAAUGUUCGUUCUGCACGUGACAAUAACCAGGCACAAGCCGCACCUCGGGGAGCAAAAUUAGAAUUGCCUGUGUUUGUGUUCUACAAUGUAUUUGAGAUAAUUAAAAAUUAGCCCGUGAAACCAUCGAGAUCAUUAGAGGAGCAGGAAGGAUUUGGAGGCGGCCUUUUCCCUCCGGGCAAACGAACUGGACUUUUAUGAGAGUAAAUACGAAAUCUGAAUCCGGCUGCACAUUUUACUAAAACUGCUAACAGCUCAUGGUCACCUCUGCCUAGCUGGCAGGCCUCCGGAAUAGCCACCCCCGGCCGUGUCUUAUUAGCAACCUGCAAGAAAAUAACUAAAAAUAAUCGGCCGUUGAAAUGAUUAUUUAAGCCUCUAAGAAACGCAUCCUGAUGACUGUGCGUGACUGUGUGGUGGCUGCGCUCUCGUCGCUCCUGCCUCUCCAGUCCGGCUCCACUUCUCCGCUGCUGCUUUAAGACUGCAGAGCGCCCCAGCGGCCAGAGGCAG